ACCUAAACGUCGACCGGAAAGCCAAUUUUUGACAAUGUAUGUAUAUUUGGAAGUAUUUACAUAUACUAGGAGACUAAAGGGAACUUUUAGUGUUUCAAUGGUUGCUCACUAUAUUUUUUAUAAUAGGUUUUUGUGGUGCUGGAACCUUAUUCCUGCAGUUUUUACUGCAAAGUGCCACACUAGAUAUUUAUUUUUGCAAUUGCACUGU